rnacentral:tRNA from 1 species
UCCCUGGUGAUUUACUGGUUAGGAUUCUGGACUUUCACUGCCAUGAACCAGGUUCAAUUCCUGGUCAGGGAA